rnacentral:rRNA from 1 species
AAAGUGUAGCAAUACAUGAGUACAGCGGCGCACGGGUGAGUAACACGUGGAUAACCUGCCUCAAAGUGGGGAAUAACACCGGGAAACCGGUGCUAAUACCGCAUAUUCUGAUGAGAUCUGUGGAUUUUGUCAGUAAAGGAGCAAUUCGCUAUGAGAGGGGUCCGCGGCUGAUUAGCUAGUUGGUGAGGUAAUGGCUCACCAAGGCAACGAUCAGUAGCCGGUCUGAGAGGACGGUCGGCCACACUGGAACUGAGACACGGUCCAGACUCCUACGGGAGGCAGCAGUGGGGAAUUUUUCGCAAUGGGGGCAACCCUGACGAAGCAAUGCCGCGUGGAUGAUGAAGUAUUUCGGUACGUAAAAUCCUUUCGACGGGGACGAAACCGCAAGGUUGACGGUACCCGUAGAAGAAGCCCCGGCUAACUCCGUGCCAGCAGCCGCGGUAAUACGGGGGGGGCAAGCGUUGUUCGGAAUUACUGGGCGUAAAGGGUGCGUAGGCGGCUUUCUAAGUUGGAUGUGAAAACUCUGGGCUCAACCCAGAGACUGCAUCCAAAACUGGAGAGCUUGGGUUCUGGAGGGGAAAGCGGAAUUCCUGGUGUAGCGGUGAAAUGCGUAGAUAUCAGGAGGAACACCGGUGGCGAAGGCGGCUUUCUGGACAGAUACCGACGCUGAGGCACGAAAGCUAGGGGAGCAAACAGGAUUAGAUACCCUGGUAGUCCUAGCCCUAAACGAUGGAUACUUGCUGUGAGGGGGAUUGAAACCCCUUGUGGCGAAGCUAACGCAUUAAGUAUCCCGCCUGGGGAGUACGGUCGC